AAUCCAUGAUCCCUCUCACGUGGAGGUUUCGAAAGUGGGUGGCCUCCGCAGUGGCCUCUGAGUGGCUCUCCCUCAGCCUGCGAAGUUCGUCCUCCAUCUCCUUCGACUUUUUUGUUAAAUGAUAAACUUUCUUCCUCAGAUGUCGGAUCGUGGACUUCAGCGGAACUCCCUGUGGCAAGGGAAGCGCUUCGGCAUGACACUACCAUCGGGAGACAAAAGCGUCAAG
rnacentral:lncRNA from 1 species